rnacentral:lncRNA from 1 species
GUUAGUGGUAGACAUUUCUGUAUGUAGUGUUAUGAUAUGAGGGUAGGUUAGUUUUAUGAUAUGAGGGUAGGUUAGUGUUAGACAUGUCUGUAUGUAGUGUUAUGAUAUGAGGGUAGGUUAGUGGUAGACAUGUAUGUAUGUUGUCUUAUGAUAUGAGGGUAGGUUAGUGUUAUGAUAUGAGGGUAGGUUAGUGGUAGACAUGACUGUAUGUAGUGUUAUGAUAUGAAGGUAGGUUAGUGGUAGACAUGUCUGUAUGUAGUGUUAUGAUAUGAGGGUAGGUUAGUGUUAUGAUAUGACGGUAGGUUAGUGUUAUGAUAUGAGGGUAGGUUAGUGUUAGACAUGUCUGUAUGUAGUGUUAUGAUAUGAUGGUAGGUUAGUGGUAGACAUUUCUGUAUGUAGUGUUAUGAUAUGAGGGUAGGUUAGUGGUAGACAUUUCUGUAUGUAGUGUUAUGAUAUGAGGGUAGGUUAGUUUUAUGAUAUGAGGGUAGGUUAGUGUUAGACAUGUCUGUAUGUAGUGUUAUGAUAUGAGGGUAGGUUAGUGGUAGACAUGUAUGUAUGUUGUGUUAUGAUAUGAGGGUAGGUUAGUGUUAUGAUAUGAGGGUAGGUUAGUGUUAAACCAGACUGUAUGUAGUGUUAUGAUAUGAAGGUAGGUUAGUGGUAGACAUGUCUGUAUGUAGUGUUAUGAUAUGAGGGUAGGUUAGUGGUAGACAUGUCUGUAUGUAGUGUUAUGAUAUGAGGGUAGGUUAGUGGUAGACAUGUCUGUAUGUAGUGUUAUGAUAUGAUGGUAGGUUAGUGGUAGACAUUUCUGUAUGUAGUGUUAUGAUAUGAGGGUAGGUUAGUGUUAUGAUAUGAGGGUAGGUUAGUGUUAGACAUGUCUGUAUGUAGUGUUAUGAUAUGAGGGUAGGUUAGUGGUAGACAUGUAUGUAUGUUGUGUUAUGAUAUGAGGGUAGGUUAGUGUUAUGAUAUGAGGGUAGGUUAGUGGUAGACAUGACUGUAUGUAGUGUUAUGAUAUGAAGGUAGGUUAGUGGUAGACAUGUCUGUAUGUAGUGUUAUGAUAUGAGGGUAGGUUAGUGUUAUGAUAUGACGGUAGGUUAGUGUUAUGAUAUGAGGGUAGGUUAGUGUUAGACAUGUCUGUAUGUAGUGUUAUGAUAUGUGGGUAGGUUGGUGGUAGACAUGUAUGUAUGUAGUGUUAUGAUAUGAGGGUAGGUUAGUGGUUACUUUAUCCUAUCCCAGGUAUUCCUUAAAGAGGUGGGGUUUCAGGUGUCUCCGGAAGGUGGUGAUUGACUCCGCUGUCCAGGCGUCGUGAGGGAGCUUGUUCCACCAUUGGGGUGCCAGAGCAGCGAACAGUUUUGACUGGGCUGAGCGGUAACUGUGCUUCCUCAGAGGUAGGGAGGCGAGCAGGCCAGAGGUGGAUGAACGCAGUGCCCUUGUUUGGGUGUAGGGACUGAUCAGAGCCUGAAGGUACGGAGGUGCCGUUCCCCUCACAGCUCCGUAGGCAAGCACCAUGGUCUUGUAGCAGA